CAGUCGCCACGGUAAUACGUAGGUGGCAAGCGUUGUCCGGAAUUAUUGGGCGUAAAGGGCUCGCAGGCGGUUUCUUAAGUCUGAUGUGAAAGCCCCCGGCUCAACCGGGGAGGGUCAUUGGAAACUGGGAAACUUGAGUGCAGAAGAGGAGAGUGGAAUUCCACGUGUAGCGGUGAAAUGCGUAGAGAUGUGGAGGAACACCAGUGGCGAAGGCGACUCUCUGGUCUGUAACUGACGCUGAGGAGCGAAAGCGUGGGGAGCAAACAGGAUUAGAUACCCCGGUAGUCCCUGUCUCUUAUAC
rnacentral:rRNA from 1 species